CGACAAAAACCGCUUGCCGAAUUGGGGCGUUCGUUUAUCUGUGCGGGAUGUAUAGAGUUCACAGUCACGUCAGGUCAGAAUUGGGACGUAAAAUCCGAUGCCUCGUGUAAUGAGAGUGCUACACUCUCUGAACGCAAAGAACCCUUGCAACAAUUCUUUGAGAGGUCCGUAUGUGGCCGGUUGCAAGGUAUAAUUUCUGUCCUAUCCAAUAUACCCUCAUUUUCCAGUGGCAGUCCUAGUUUCCCUGACCAUCACCCCGGAUGUCCUCUUUGAUGGCAAGACCUACCUAUUGUAUUUAUCGUUAACUUGUUUUCGUCCUGAACAUGCAUGAAAUAUUUGCCACUGGACGUUAAGCAACCAACAAUCAAUCAAAGUAUUUAAAUACGGCAAUGUUUGUAGAACAAGUAAAAAAACAUUUAUAUUCAAACAAAGAUAAAAUUUCAAAAGACAAAAAUUUGACGCUACGUUACAGUACCCGA
rnacentral:lncRNA from 1 species